rnacentral:tRNA from 1 species
GGGGAUUUGGCUCAGUGGUAGAGCGCUUGCCUAGGAAGCACAAGGUCCGGGGUUCGGUCCCCAGCCCCG